ensembl:lncRNA
CACGUGUCCAGGUCACAUGGCCUGCCAGACAGAGAAGGCGGCUGGCAAUCAUUAACUAAUGCUUUCUCCCAGGGAGAAAAAUGCUGGCUUUAAGGAGGCCGGGACGUCAGAAUUGCAAUAGAAGAGGCUGAGGCUCUAACACCUGGUGAAGGUCAUCCUCCUGCAUCAUCCCAUGGUGGAAGAUGGAAAGGCAAGGAAGUAUGGGGGAGGAAGCAAGACUACCCUUAUGCUAACUAACCCAUGACAACACAUGGCAGACCUCACCACUGGUUUUGGGUUUCCAUCGCUGUGAAGAGACACCAUGACCAAGGCAACUCUUAUAAGGGAAAUAUUUAACUGGGCCUUGCUUAUUGGUUCAGGGGUUCAGUCCAUUAUCAUUAUGGCAGGAAGCAUAGCAGCAUCCAGGCAGGCAUGGUGCUGGAGAAGAGCUCUACAUCUUCAUCUGAAGACAGAAGACUGGCUCUUAUGUCCUGGGCAGAACUUAAUCAUAGGCCCUGAAAGCCCCAACCCCAUGGUGAUGCAUCCUCUGACAAGGCCACACCUACCCCCAACAAGGCCACACCUACCCCAACAAGGCCACACCUACCCCAACAAGGCCACACCCACCCCCAACAAGGCUACACCUACCCCCAACAAGGCUACACCUACCCCCAACAAGGCCACACCUCCUAAUAGUGCCACUUCCCAUGGGCCAGCAUAUUCAAACCACCACAGCACCUGUUGUUAGAUUCCCCACUACUGCACCAGGGAUCAAGUUAUGAACACAUGAGCUUUGAGAGGUGCAUGUCAAUCAUAAUAUCAACUAAGUAAGAGGAGGGACUUGAUACCCGAUUGGUUACACUGAGGGGUACAAGAGAAAGAAUUGAGAAUGGGUAGAAGUCCACAGGUUUCUGGCUUGGUGGCUAGAGACUCCAUUCACUGGUUCAGAAUUAGGGUGUGGAGGGCAAAGGAUGGGCAGGAGGAGUGGAUUCUAAUGUCCUAUAGAAUACUAGGGUUUACAUUUCAAAAUGGCUGAGACAGCGUUCAAUCUUUGCAACACAAAGAAAUGAUGACCGGCUGAGGCGAUGAGUAUCUAGAUAUUUAUUGAAACAUCGCUCUGUAUAUCCAUGAAUAUUUGAAAUUAUUAUAUAUCAGUUGAGAAUUGAAAAAAAUGAUAUAAGAGCCAUAUGUAGUGACUCAUGCCUGUAAUCCCAGCUCUUGAGAGUCAAGGCAAGAGGAAUGCUGUGGGUUCAAGGCCAUCCUGGUCUAUACUGAGUUUCAGGCUACCCUGUACUAUAGACUGAGACCCUGCUUUAAUAAAUGAAUGAACGGAGGGUUGGGGAUUUGGCUCAGUGGUAGAGCGCUUGCCUAGCAAGCGCAAGGCCCUGGGUUCAGUCCCCAGCUCUGAAAAAAAGAAAAGAAAAAAAAUGAAUAAACGAAUGAAGAAUGAAUGAAUGAAUGAGUGGGGGAACUAGAAUGACAUGGGGGACAGCUAUGUUCAAGGUUCCCACUGGGUAUUUAGGAAGGACGUCCAGAAGGCCCUGGACAUUGCAACAGUAUUGGGGGAAGGGUAGGCUGUACUGCAGAAUGAGUGUUGGGGAGGCAGCCUGGAGAUCGUGAGAGAUAGAUAGAUAGAUAGAUAGACAGAGAGAGAGAGAGACAGACAGACAGACAGACAGACAGACAAACAGACACACAAAAGCCUGGCUUCAGCUCAAAGCACAGGACUGCUGGUACUUAACUGAUUCCAGCGACCCCACCCCACUCCUCGACACACACACACACACACACACACACAGACACACUGGCUUUUCAGGGUCACAGCAUCCUUACUCAAGGCCAGGGACGCUGUGUUCCAAUGCCAGUUGUGUCACAGAGCUUCGGAGAAGGCUGGGCUUGAGGAAGAGCAGGAGGCGGGUGCAGAAGUCCUUGUUCAUCAGGUUCCAGGCAACCAUUCCCGUCAGGGAGUCUCUAGUGUGCAUCCCCUCCUCCCAGACUGUCAGAAGUAUGGAGCUGAUUUGGGAAAGCCAAAAAUGAGCCUUCCGAUCGUCACCUGGUAGGAGCCAAUGCCUGGAGCCCUCCUAAAAAAAAAAAAAAAUUACACCCAUUUCCAUGGGGUUUCAAAGUGCCUCCUGCCAGUCCGAUUCCAGAGCUUGUCCCUCUAAGUGACACCUCUACAUUUUCAUCCCCUUGACCCUUUACUGAGGUUAAACAGGCCUGUAAUCAUCACAGGGUCCCACAGCAUAGUAGGGGGACACAGGACAGCACCCAAAAUGGGGGACUGGGGGUGGCUUUGGAGAACAGCAUGAAAUAUUGGGAGUAUCUGUUUUCUAUUAAAUGAUCUAAGAACAACUUUAUGAGGGGAAAGCAGGCUUCUCAUAAAAACAAAGACAUAUAUAUGGAUACAAUUUAAAAUUACCACCAGCUGUCCAUGAAGGAAAAAUUGAGCUGUCGCACCAAGACAAUUGCUGCUCAUCUUUGUAGCCACGCUUGAGAGUGUCGUCCAAGCGUGUCUGUGCUCACUGGCAGGCAAUACCGUAGGUGCCAAAACGCUAAGACCAUUUUCAACGGGAUGUUCUGAAGUCCGGACAGUUUCCAAACAACUAACGUGACAUUACCACCCUGAGAGUUGAUAUGCUGGCCAGGGUUUUUAUCAAUUUGUUAUUUAUCUUUUCGCCAACUUGACACCAACUAGAGCUGCCACGGAGGAGAAAUCAUCAAUUGGUCGGUGGCGGCGUUUUCUUGAUUAAUGUUUAACGUGGGAGGACCCAGUUCGAGGUGGGCGGAGCCACCCCGCGCAGGUGGGUCUGGGUUGAGUAAGGCAAGCAUUCUUCCACAGCCUCUGCAUCAGCUCCCGCCUCCAGGUUCCUGCCUCGGCGCCCUUUAGUGAUGGACCACAAGUUGUUUUGAGUUAUAUGGUCUUCAUCGCAGCGGUAAAUCACAGAUUAGAACGGGAUUCAUAAGAGCCACCAUAACUUCAUCUGACUUCUGGAUCUGCCACCAACACCACCCUCGCCACCCAAGUCCAGCUGUAAAAUCGGACUGUUUCGAACCACCAGCUCCCCACGAUGACAUGAGGACUUAUUAUCAAUUAUAACAGCUUAGGCCGUAUAGCUUAUCCUUGUUCCCCACGAGCUCGAAAAUCUUAAUUAACCCGUUAUUCUAGUCCACCAUGUGACCUGCUACCUCUCAAUGUGUCCUGGCACAUCUGACUUCCUCCAUGUCUGGCUGGCCAUUCCAGCGCCUCUCAAUUCUCCCCACAGUUCUCUGCUCAGAAGUCUUGCCUUUCCUCUCCUGCCUCAGGUAAGGAAAAGAAUGUUCACAAAGCACUCAGGCAGGGGAUGAUCCAGUGAAAAUAACAAUGUCAAGGUUCAGUCAAACACAAGCACUCAGCUCUCCGCUGGUACAGAAAUCAACAUUUGAAUAAUACAAAUAAUACAACCUUUACACGGUGCGCAAAAAGAUUAUCUCAACUUGGGGGCACAAUUUGAGAACCAUUGUCAGAGGGAG